UGACUGUAAAUUUUCUAAUGGUUUUUAAGGAUUUUACAAUGUUAUAUUAUAAUGUUGUUUUACUUAGUCAUUUCAUCACCGUUUACAAACCAACAUUUUACAAUUAGGCUACAGUCAGUUUGCAAUCCAUCACUUUGCGCCACCUGGCGGCAGUUUCGCGAAUGAUUUUAACACGCGACUGACUUGCAGUUAACGCCUCGCGGCCCUGCGGCGGCAGUACACGCAGCUGUAUUGCCCAUUCUGGUUGUCCACCUACUGUACAUAAAGUUCACCUUUAAGGAAAAUCUGAUAAAAAUCUUAUGACUGAAACUAAGUUUCUAUGUCUCCUGUCACUGUCAUCAGUACUAUCCUAAAUGUCAGUGUGAUUAUCUGGGAUGGUGGAGACUCACAGAGGGUCCAGGCAGGCCGGGGAAACCUCUUUCACCACGUUGUCCAGGAAAUCCAACAAUACCACGCUGGCCAGCCAGACCCUGAGGACCUGCUGGACCAUCUGGACCCUGGGACAGGACAGAAGUGAAAGCCACAAUGACAAAAUCAUAUUAUUCUCCAUCAAUAGAACCUAAAAAAAUGAGUCUGGACAGGCUAAAUCACUAGACUCAGAGUGUUUCUAUCUAUACUAUGUGUUGAGGUGGAAAUGUUGUAUAUUCCCACUGACAGACAGCCACGCUAAAUGAGAUCCACUAAAACUACGUACAGCAGGCCCAUCUUCUCCAGGAUCUCCUUUCUCGCCAGGAGUCCCAGCCGGCCCACGCAGCCCAGCAUCUCCGGGUCUUCCAGGAGGACCACCAUCACCACGCACACCCUUUGGACCAUCUUUACCAGGAGGACCAGCAGCUCCAGCGGGACCCGGGUUACCCUGAGUACGCACAUUAACAUGAAUGAAAAUUCUGAGGUGUAGAGGACAUAAUGGACACAGGAUGUGAAAGGACAUCUGUCUACAGGAAACAGGUUUUCUAUUUAUUCCUUAAGUGAGGUCUUUGUUAUAGUGAACAAGUCCGUUGUUUUACUAACAUUGGGUCCAGGAGGUCCAACUCUACCAGCGGCUCCAGGGAAACCUGUGGCACCCUACAAAAUUCAUAAAAAUUAAAAUUCAGUUUCAUGAUCUACAUUUACAAACAAUGUACUUUUGUUUGUACUUACAGAAGGUCCUUGAGCACCACGAACCCCUUUUGGUCCAGACACACCAGUUGGUCCCUAUAACCAAAGCAGGAAUACACAAUAUGAAGAAAAACAGGGUAAAUGCUGUCUUGAGACGGGGAAGCAAAUUCAUUUGACUGAUGUUACCUGAGGACCUGGAGCUCCAGAAGGCCCCUGAGGGCCUGGUGCACCAGCAUCACCCUUCUGUCCACCUUCACCCUGCUCUCCUUUAAUGCCAGGCUGUCCAUCUGCACCCUAAC
ensembl:lncRNA